rnacentral:tRNA from 1 species
GUCUCAAUAGCUAAGUGGUAUAGCAUGCGAUUGCAGUUCUAAACUAUAUCGCAGGGUCCGGUGUUCGAACCACCGUUGGGACU